rnacentral:rRNA from 3 species
ACAGGGAUUGCCCUAGUAACGGCGAGUGAAGCGGCAACAGCUCAAAUUUGAAAUCUGGCUCUUUCAGAGUCCGAGUUGUAAUUUGCAGAGGGCGCUUUGGCGUUGGCAGCGGUCCAAGUUCCUUGGAACAGGACGUCACAGAGGGUGAGAAUCCCGUACGUGGUCGCUGGCCUUCGCCGUGUAAAGCCCCUUCGACGAGUCGAGUUGUUUGGGAAUGCAGCUCUAAAUGGGAGGUAAAUUUCUUCUAAAGCUAAAUACUGGCCAGAGACCGAUAGCGCACAAGUAGAGUGAUCGAAAGAUGAAAAGCACUUUGGAAAGAGAGUCAAAUAGCACGUGAAAUUGUUGAAAGGGAAGCGCUUGCAGCCAGACUUGCCUGUAGUUGCUCAUCCGGGCUUUUGCCCGGUGCACUCUUCUGCGGGCAGGCCAGCAUCAGUUUGGGCGGUUGGAUAAAGGUCUCUGUCAUGUACCUCUCUUCGGGGAGGCCUUAUAGGGGAGACGUCAUACAACCAGCCUGGACUGAGGUCCGCGCAUUUGCUAGGAUGCUGGCGUAAUGGCUGUAAGCGGCCCGUCUUGAAACACGGACCAAGGAGUCUAACAUCUAUGCGAGUGUUUGGGUGUCAAGCCCGAACGCGUAAUGAAAGUGAACGGAGGUGGGACCCCAUUAGGGUGCACCAUCGACCGAUCCUGAUGUCUUCGGAUGGAUUUGAGUAAGAGCAUGGCUGUUGGGACCCGAAAGAUGGUGAACUAUGCUUGAAUAGGGUGAAGCCAGAGGAAACUCUGGUGGAGGCUCGCAGCGGUUCUGACGUGCAAAUCGAUCGUCAAAUUUGGGCAUAGGGGCGAAAGACUAA